rnacentral:rRNA from 1 species
GACGAACCGAGCGAACGUUGUUCGGAAUCACUGGGCUUAAAGGGCGCGUAGGCGGGUGCUCAAGUCCGGGGUGAAAUCCCACAGCUCAACUGUGGAACUGCCUCGGAUACUGGGUGCCUCGAGGGUGGUAGGGGUAUGCGGAACUAUCGGUGGAGCGGUGAAAUGCGUUGAUAUCGAUAGGAACUCCGGUGGCGAAGGCGGCGUACUGGACCACAUCUGACGCUGAGGCGCGAAAGCCAGGGGAGCAAACGGG